CCGAUUUAUUUUAUCUGUCGCUUUGUUUUCGACGAAUUUAAUACGGGGGCUUAAGCGCUCAUUUGAAUCGUUUUAACAGACUUAUAUAUGUACAUACGCACGUGUCCCGUCCGGUAGGAUAUUCGACUGUCGGAUGCGUCGUCGUUGUACAGUCGUGCAUUAGGUGCGCGAUUGGCUAACAAUAAUCCGCGGACUUUAGUU